rnacentral:rRNA from 1 species
AUUGAACGCUGGCGGCAGGCCUAACACAUGCAAGUCGAGCGGCAGCGGGAAGUAGCUUGCUACUUUGCCGGCGAGCGGCGGACGGGUGAGUAAUGUCUGGGAAACUGCCCGAUGGAGGGGGAUAACUACUGGAAACGGUCGCUAAUACCGCAUAACGUCGAAAGACCAAAGCGGGGGACCUUUGGGCCCUUUGCCAUCGGAUGCGCCCAGAUGGGAUUAGCUAGUAGGUGGGGUAACGGCUCACCUAGGCGACGAUCCCUAGCUGGUCUGAGAGGAUGACCAGCCACACUGGAACUGAGACACGGUCCAGACUCCUACGGGAGGCAGCAGUGGGGAAUAUUGCACAAUGGGCGCAAGCCUGAUGCAGCCAUGCCGCGUGUAUGAAGAAGGCCUUCGGGUUGUAAAGUACUUUCAGCGGGGAGGAAGGUGUUGAGGUUAAUAACCUCAGCAAUUGACGUUACCCGCAGAAGAAGCACCGGCUAACUCCGUGCCAGCCGCCGCCGUAA